AGGGUGAGCAUUUGCUGCAACACAGGGUGAAUUUUUACUUCUAUUGCCUUGAGGACAUUCAUUGGAAACAUCAUGUUGCACUUGAUGGAGACUCUCCUGAUGAAAAGGCAUCUUUAGGGUAAGAUAAUCUGGCAUAUAAGUGAAUCCCACCGGCUCACAACUUUGUAAGGUGCUGAAGAGGAUGAAGCUCCUUAUCCCUGGAAGACCAGUGUGUUUUUUUACGGAAUGUCUAAAGCUUUAUGACCCAAGAAUACCUUCCUCAAGGACCCAGGAGCUACUUCUUCGAAAUGCAAUCUUCAAGCGAGACAGAACCCCACGUGUAUCUCCAGUUUCUUUGGGAAGAUCUGAUAAAAUUGCAAAGCAAACUCUCACUAGUAUAUUUCAAAGAAUUUGACAAACUUAUUCUAGAUUUAUGGGAUAGAAAAGAGCUAAGAAAAGUCAAGACACUGAUGAAGAAGAAUCAUCAGCAAGGCUUAUGGUGAAAAAAUACAAUUGGCAUCACAAGACCUAUUUCAUUAUACCUCAUGGAUCCUGGAAUUUCCUUCUCCACUUCCUUCUUAAAUCCUGAAUGGAACUGUAAGAAGAAUAUAAGAAAGCAGAAAGAACACAGAGGAGGCGUUGACUAGGCAAAUUUGCCAAUAAUUAGGGAUUCGUACUCACUUAUCAUUGGAGGAGUGAUAUUAUACCUCAUUUUAGCCUCGCAGAAACCGUUAGAGCUGGCUUCACUGAAAGUCAAAUCCAGUGACAACUCAGCCAGAAUAAAUGAGUAAUCUGCUAAGUAAUGUUACUCAGAUUCUUCUGUGAAAGGAAUUCAAGACAGCCUUGACAUCCAUCUAUCAAGCAUGACUUGGAACUAAAGAAGAUGACAACCCAGAAAAGCCAGUGAAUAAAAUAUCCCCAAUAAAAGUUGGAUUUUACUAUCCAAAGAACCAGAAAAAGGACAAUGUGGGAAGACAGAAACUUUAGACAAUACCUCUCUACCUAAUCCAAAUACCACAGAAAAAGAUUGUGACCCUCACCCCCAACCACUUAAGAUAAGACUGAGUGGGUAGUCUACACUUCCACCUUUGCCAGAAUGAUUUCAGAGAGGCAAAACUAAAAAGCCAAGAAUUUCAUCACCACUAGGUGAUAACCUCCCCUUGUGGAGUUAAAGACCAUGUAGAAAAACUUGGAUUUCCAAAUAUAUCUGGCAAUAGUAAAGCACAACUUACAGCCCCAGCUUGGCUGGUGUCUGUAGAGGUCUAAUGGAGAAUCAGGAUAUUCACCACCAGUGAUAACCAAUUUUUUCCAUGAUGUCAGUAGAGGCCUCAUAGGGAAGAAUAACAAGACGCUCCUACUUUUCCCAACCAGAAAGGUGUUAAUGGAGACUUAGUAGGAGACAUGAACACCCAUUCAGUAAUGACUAAACCUCUUGUCUACCAGAGUGUGAAUGGAAGUUGAGUUGGGAAACUUAACAUGAAUUCUCAUCUGGCAGUGACAAGGUGGCACAUUCCUUCCAACCCCUUCUAUACUGUCAGAGGAAACAGGCUAAAAUUGAAGCUUAACAUUCAAAAUGUCCAGCUUUUAAUAAACAAACAAAAAUACUUCAUCAUACCAAGAACUAAGAAUAUCUCAAACUGAUUGAGAAAAUGACAGGUAAUAGAUGUCAAUUUCAAGAUAACAGAAAUGUUAAAAUUAGUGCCAAAAUUUUAAUGUAGUCAUCGUAAAAAUUCUUAAUUGAUAAUUUUCAAACACUUGCAACAAAUAAAUAGAAAGCUUCAGCAAAGAAAGGGAAAAUAUAAAGAAGAACCAAACGGAAAUUUUAAAACUGAAAAAUACAAGAACCAAGAUAAAAAUAUCAAUGGAUGACUAAAUGGAGGAACAGAAAGAAAGAAGAAUUACAACAACAGAAAAAAACCAAUCUGGACAACAAAGACAAAAUAAGGUAAAAACCAAAAAUGAACAAUCAGGGCACUGUGAGGCUAUAACAAAAGUCUAACAUUCAUGUCAUUAAAGUUUAGCAAGUAGAAGAGAAAGAGGAAAAAGUACUUGGAGAAAUAAAUGAUGACUUCCUAAGUUUGGUAAAAGGUAUGAAACUACAGAUUCAGGAAUCUUAGUAAACUCCAAACAGUAUCAACCCAAAGAAUUCCACACACAAAUAAAUCAUAGUCAAACUUAGGAGAACUAAAAACAAAAAAUUCUUGAAAGCAGCAAGAUAAAAAACACCUUACCUAGAUGCAAAAAAUUAUUUGAAUAAGAGUGGCUUUUUGUCAGAAAUCAUGAAGGCCAGAAGGAAGCAGCACGAGAUUUUUCAAGUACUUGAAUAAGGAAACUAUUAAUACAAUCCCAUAUCCAGAGAAAUUACUCUUCAAUAAUGAAAAGGAAAUCAUAACAUUUGAGACAAAGGAAAACGAAGAGAAUUUAUUGUUGG